rnacentral:rRNA from 1 species
GACGAACGCUGGCGGCGCGCCUAACACAUGCAAGUCGAACGGAGCUGCGAGAAGCUUGCUUUUCUUAGCUUAGUGGCGAACGGGUGAGUAACGCGUGAGUAACCUGCCCUGGAGUGGGGGACAACAGUUGGAAACGACUGCUAAUACCGCAUAAGCCCACGAUCCGGCAUCGGAUUGAGGGAAAAGGAUUUAUUCGCUUCAGGAUGGACUCGCGUCCAAUUAGCUAGUUGGUGAGGUAACGGCCCACCAAGGCGACGAUUGGUAGCCGGACUGAGAGGUUGAACGGCCACAUUGGGACUGAGACACGGCCCAGACUCCUACGGGAGGCAGCAGUGGGGGAUAUUGCACAAUGGGGGAAACCCUGAUGCAGCGACGCCGCGUGGAGGAAGAAGGUUUUCGGAUUGUAAACUCCUGUCGUUAGUGACGAUAAUGACGGUACCUAACAAGAAAGCACCGGCUAACUACGUG